AACGUAAACAAACAAGACCAAGACCAAGGGGUGGCAGGGAAGGGUGUUUUUUUUUCUGAUUGCGUGUUAGCCUCAAAAACCCUCCUGUCACACCUCGACGUGGAUUAGUCUCGUCACCGUUAAGGAUAAGGGACCUGCGUCAACCUUCUUUUCAACCAUGGCACUGAAGAAUUCAACCACUGGCUAUGACUCAGCCUUUGAGGAAGACAUCAAGCUGCGUAAGAAGCAGCAGGAGCGCCAUGCCAUCAUGUAUUGUGACAAAGGUGCAAGGCAAGGGCUGCCGAAUCGCUCCACCCUGGCGGACAUGGCGAGCCUGGAGGAGGGGCGGCGGCUGCGCUACCAGAUGUCCAACAUGACGGCCUACGAGCGCCACAAGAUGCUCAUCAACCACUAUGUCCUCUACCACCCUGGCAGCACCGCCUUCCUCCAGCGAGACGCCUCUAAAGACAAGAAAGACAUCGACGUCAUAAGGGAGAAUCACCAGUUCCUGUGGGAGAGCUCGGACACUCCGGAGACGUGGGAACAGCAGCUGGCCAAGAAGUACUACGACAAGCUGUUCAAGGAGUACUGCAUCUGUGACCUUUCCCGUUACAAGGAGAACAAGGUGGGCAUGAGGUGGAGGGUCGAGAAGGAGGUGAUAUCCGGCAAGGGUCAGUUCACGUGUGGGGAGAAGAGGUGCAGCGAGCAGGAGGGGCUGAGGACCUGGGAGAUGAACUUUUCGUAUCAGGAGCAAGGAGCCAAGAAGAAUGCCCUCGUCAAGCUGAGUUGGACUCUGCCACUACUGCUCCUACAAAGUGAACUACCACCACAAGAGGAAAGAGGUGACGCGGAAGAACAGGAAGCGGAAAAACAAAGACGACUCGAGCAGGAAGGACUCCAAGAGGAAGAGCAAGAAGGACGAAGCAGCGGCAGAGGAAGAGAAAGAUGAAAGUUCAGCAACAAGCGAAGCACAGAAGGCGGAGGACAUAUGGAAGGGCCCGGCGAAGUUACCUGAUGAUAAGAGCCGCGAGGAGGAGUUUGAAGAGUACCUGGAGGACCUGUUCCUAUGAAUCAAACAGGUUCACAUGUAGGAGGGGAGUGUCGUGACCCCAAGGACGGAGAAGCAGGAGCGCAUGACAGCGUGGAGGGAGCUGAGGAGGUGGAGGCGCGCGUGCAUGAGGGGGAGGAGGUGCGGCAGGAAGCCCUCCGGGACCACCUGGUGUCUGCC